CGGUCCAGACUCCUACGGGAGGCAGCAGUAGGGAAUCUUCCGCAAUGGGCGAAAGCCUGACGGAGCAACGCCGCGUGAGUGAUGAAGGGUUUCGGCUCGUAAAACUCUGUUAUUAGGGAAGAACAAACGUGUAAGUAACUGUGCACGUCUUGACGGUACCUAAUCAGAAAGCCACGGCUAACUACGUGCCAGCAGCCGCGGUAA
rnacentral:rRNA from 1 species